GGCUACAUUCUUGAUCCAAAUUUUUCCUUUGUGAAGAUUGCUGCCCCUUAUGCUCAGGAACUUUUAGAUCUAAGAACCAAGCGGCAUUCAGGAACACGACUGGUGGAAGAAAUAAGGAAACAAGCGAAUGAUGCAAGAAGUUCUACCAUGUCCAUGCCUUCCAGAGUUCAACGGAUAGAAGAGUUUGUGAAGCAACUUGAAUCAGGAG
rnacentral:misc_RNA from 1 species